rnacentral:tRNA from 3 species
GCCCAUAUAGCUCAGUCGGUAGAGCACUUCCUUGGUAAGGAAGAGGUCACCGGUUCAAAUCCGGUUGUGGGCU